rnacentral:rRNA from 1 species
UGUGUAGGCGGUUGUUUAAGUUUGGUGUGAAAUCUCCCGGCUCAACUGGGAGGGUGCGCCGAAUACUGAAUGACUUCGAGUGCGGGAGAGGAAAGUGGAAUUCCUGGUGUAGCGGUGAAAUGCGUAGAUAUCAGGAGGAACACCGGUGGUGUAGACGGCUUUCUGGACCGUAACUGACGCUGAGACACGAAAGCGUGGGUAGCAAACAGGAUUAGAUACCCUGGUAGUCCACGCCCUAAACGAUGCAUAUUUGGUGUGGGCAGUUCAUUCUGUCCGUGCCGGAGCUAACGCGUUAAAUAUGCCGCCGUGGGGAGUACAGUCGCAAGGCUAGAA